GAUGAAGAACGUAGCGAAAUGCGAUACUUGGUGUGAAUUGCAGAAUCCCGUGAACCAUCGAGUUUUUGAACGCAAGUUGCGCCCGAUGCCAUUAGGUUGAGGGCACGUCUGCCUGGGUGUCACAUAUCGAAUCCCCUUGCCAAUUUCCUAUUUAUUAGGUAUUGCGUGCAGGGUGAAUAUGUUGGCCUCCCGUGAGCUCUGUCUCGUGGUUGGUUGAAAAUUGAGACCUUGGUAGGGUGUGCCAUGAUAGAUGGUGGAUGUGUGACCCACGAGACCAAAUCAUGUGCAGCUCUAUUGAACGUGGACUCUUUUACCCACAUGUGUUUUAUAACGCUCGUGAUGAGACCUCAGGUCAGGCGGGGCUACCCGCUGAAUUUAAGCAUAUCAAUAAGCGGAGGA
rnacentral:misc_RNA from 1 species